rnacentral:rRNA from 1 species
UCUGGGACAAGCCCUGGAAACGGGGUCUAAUACCGGAUAACACUCUGUCCCGCAUGGGACGGGGUUGAAAGCUCCGGCGGUGAAGGAUGAGCCCGCGGCCUAUCAGCUUGUUGGUGGGGUGAUGGCCUACCAAGGCGACGACGGGUAGCCGGCCUGAGAGGGCGACCGGCCACACUGGGACUGAGACACGGCCCAAACUCCUACGGGAGGCAGCAGUGGGGAAUAUUGCACAAUGGGCGAAAGCCUGAUGCAGCGACGCCGCGUGAGGGAUGACGGCCUUCGGGUUGUAAACCUCUUUCAGCAGGGAAGAAGCGAAAGUGACGGUACCUGCANAAGAAGCGCCGGCUAACUACGUGCCAGCAGCCGCGGUAAUACGUAGGGCGCAAGCGUUGUCCGGAAUUAUUGGGCGUAAAGAGCUCGUAGGCGGCUUGUUGCGUCGGNUGUGAAAGCCCGGGGCUUAACCCCGGGUCUGCAGUCNAUACGGGCAGGCUAGAGUGUGGUAGGGGAGAUCGGAAUUCCUGGUGUAGCGGUGAAAUGCGCAGAUAUCAG